rnacentral:rRNA from 1 species
AGAGUUUGAUUCUGGCUCAGGACGAACGCUGGCGGCGUGCUUAACACAUGCAAGUCGAACGAAGCACUUUGAAGGAAUUCUUCGGAAGGAAUUCAAUUUGACUUAGUGGCGGACGGGUGAGUAACGCGUGAGCAACCUGCCUACAAGAGGGGGACAACAGUUGGAAACGACUGCUAAUACCGCAUAAGACCACGCUAUCGCAUGGUAGAGAGGUCAAAGAUUUAUCGCUUGUAGAUGGGCUCGCGUCUGAUUAGCUAGUUGGUGAGGUAAAGGCUCACCAAGGCGACGAUCAGUAGCCGACCUGAGAGGGUGAUCGGCCACACUGGAACUGAGACACGGUCCAG